rnacentral:rRNA from 1 species
CCUACGGGUGGCUGCAGUGAGGAAUAUUGCGCAAUGGGGGCAACCCUGACGCAGCGACGCCGCGUGAGUGAAGAAGGCCUUCGGGUUGUAAAGCUCUGUCGGAAGGGAAGAACGGUUCAGGUGUUAAUACCAUCUGGAUUUGACGGUACCUUAGGAGGAAGCCCCGGCUAACUACGUGCCAGCAGCCGCGGUAAUACGUAGGGGGCGAGCGUUAUCCGGAAUCACUGGGCGUAAAGGGUGCGUAGGCGGCCGAUUAAGCCAGGGGUGAAAGGCUACGGCUCAACCGUAGUAAGCCUUUGGAACUGAUUGGCUUGAGUGCAGGAGAGGAGAGUGGAAUUCCUAGUGUAGCGGUGAAAUGCGUAGAUAUUAGGAGGAACACCAGUGGCGAAGGCGACUCUCUGGACUGUAACUGACGCUGAGGCACGAAAGCGUGGGGAGCAAACAGGAUUAGAUACCCCUGUAGUC